rnacentral:rRNA from 1 species
UUGUGGUUGAAAUGAUAUAGAAGAACUUGUUCAGAUUUGUAUUUCAACAUUGCAAUGAGUGGCGAACGGGUGAGUAACACGUAGGGAAACCUACCUCUUAGCAGGGAUAACAUUUGGAAACAAUGCUAAUACCGUUAUAAUAAUUAAAACCGCAUGGUUUUAGUUUAAAAGAUGGUCUUGCUAUCACUAAGAGAUGGUCCCGCGGUGUAUUAGUUAGUUGGUGAGGUAAUGGCUCACCAAGACAAUGAUACAUAGCCGAGUUGAGAGACUGACCGGCCACAAUGGGACUGAGACACGGCCCAUACUCCUACGGGAGGCAGCAGUAGGGAAUCUUCCACAAUGGACGAAAGUCUGAUGGAGCAACGCCGCGUGUGUGAUGAAGGGUUUCGGCUCGUAAAACACUGUUAUAAGAGAAGAAUGACAUUGAGAGUAACUGUUCAAUGUGUGACGGUAUCUUACCAGAAAGGAACGGCUAAAUACGUG